UCCGGUUGAUCCUGCCGGACCUGACUGCUAUCGGAUUGAUACUAAGCCAUGCGAGUCUUUGUAGUAAUACAAGGCAGACGGCUCAGUAACACGUAGUCAACCUACCCUAUGGACAAGAAUAAUCUCGGGAAACUGGGCAUAAUUCUUGAUAGAUCAUAAUGCCUGGAAUGGUUUAUGGUUAAAAUGAUUCGUCGCCAUAGGAUGGGACUGCGGCCUAUCAGCUUGUUGGUGAGGUAAUGGCCCACCAAGGCGAUUACAGGUACGGGCUCUGAGAGGAGAAGCCCGGAGAUGGGUACUGAGACACGGACCCAGGCCCUAUGGGGCGCAGCAGGCGAGAAAACUUUGCAAUGUGCGAAAGCACGACAAGGUUAAUCCGAGUGAUUUCUGCUAAAGAAAUCUUUUGCCAGUCAUAAAACCACUGGUGAAUAAGGGGUGGGCAAGUUCUGGUGUCAGCCGCCGCGGUAAAACCAGCACCUCAAGUGGUCAGGAUGAUUAUUGGGCCUAAAGCAUCCGUAGCCGGCUUUGUUAGUUUUCGGUUAAAUCCAUGUGCUCAACGCAUGGGCUGCCGAAAAUACUGCAUGGCUAGGGAGUGGGAGAGGUAGACGGUACUCAGUAGGAAGGGGUAAAAUCCUUUGAUCUAUUGAUGACCACCUGUGGCGAAGGCGGUCUACCAGAACACGUUCGACGGUGAGGGAUGAAAGCUGGGGGAGCAAACCGGAUUAGAUACCCGGGUAGUCCCAGCUGUAAACGAUGCAGACUCGAUGAUGCAUUGGCAUAAUAGCCAGUGCAGUGUCGCAGGGAAGCCGUUAAGUCUGCCGCCUGGGAAGUACGUACGCAAGUAUGAAACUUAAAGGAAUUGGCGGGGGAGCACCACAAGGGGUGAAGCCUGCGGUUCAAUUGGAUUCAACGCCG
rnacentral:rRNA from 1 species